rfam:Angiostrongylus costaricensis strain Costa Rica genome assembly, scaffold: ACOC_contig0002949
GCAGCGAUGUCCGAGUGGUUAAGGAGAUUGACUAGAAAACAAUCAGGCUCUGCCCGCGUAGGAUCGAGUCCUGCUCGCUGCG